GAGUUUGAUCCUGGCUCAGGAUGAACGCUGGCGGCGUGCCUAAUACAUGCAAGUCGAGCGAACAGAUAAGGAGCUUGCUCCUUUGACGUUAGCGGCGGACGGGUGAGUAACACGUGGGUAACCUACCUAUAAGACUGGAAUAACUCCGGGAAACCGGGGCUAAUGCCGGAUAAUAUUUAGAACCGCAUGGUUCUAAAGUGAAAGAUGGUUUUGCUAUCACUUAUAGAUGGACCCGCGCCGUAUUAGCUAGUUGGUGGGGUAAUGGCUUACCAAGGCAACGAUACGUAGCCGACCUGAGAGGGUGAUCGGCCACACUGGAACUGAGACACGGUCCAGACUCCUACGGGAGGCAGCAGUAGGGAAUCUUCCGCAAUGGGCGAAAGCCUGACGGAGCAACGCCGCGUGAGUGAUGAAGGUCUUCGGAUCGUAAAACUCUGUUAUUAGGGAAGAACAAAUGUGUAAGUAACUGUGCACGUCUUGACGGUACCUAAUCAGAAAGCCACGGCUAACUACGUGCCAGCAGCCGC
rnacentral:rRNA from 1 species